rnacentral:rRNA from 1 species
AUGUCCGGCCCUGACCUACGAGGCCGGUGGAUGCCCUCCUCCGUCACGGAAGAGGACGUGCUAAAGCUGAGAGACGCCAGGUACUUAACCUACGAGAUUUCGCAUAGGCUUCCUGCCCGAGGGCAAGUUAUGCCGACUCCCGAGCUUGGCGAGAGCGUCGUGUUCGUGUCUCACCUCCGUCGGGGUUUAGGCUUCCCGACGGAUCCCUUCGUGAGGGGGCUCAUGUUUUACUAUGGGCUGGAAUUCUAUGACUUGGCUCCGGAGUCCAUCCUCCACAUCUCAUCAUUCAUUGUCGUCUGUGAAGCCUUCCUCCGCACUACCCCUCACUUCGGCUUGUGGCUCAAAACCUUCAAUGUGGAGCCGAAGAUGAUUGAGGGGCGUCACGUAGAGUGCGGCGGGGCGGUUAUAAGCAAGAGGGCCGAUGCUCCAUGGCCCGCGGGCUCUUUUCAGGAGGAGCUCGGCUUGUGGCAACAGGAGUGGUUCUAUAUCACUGCUCCCAGGGGCAGCAGGCAGAGGCCGCCGCCCGUCUUCCGCUCGGGCCCUCCACAACAGCUGACGUCAUGGGUCAACAAGGGGCGUGACUGGGGGCCGUCCAAAGACGUACCCCUGUUGCAGGACUGGAUUCGAGGCCUCCAAGAAAGGGAGAUCAAUUUGGUCGCAGUGGUACAAGUUAUGUUGAUCCGGCGCCUACUGCCCUGCAAACGUUGCCCCCUCCGCCUGUGGGAAUUUAAUCCGGAGGGGCCAUGA